rnacentral:ncRNA from 1 species
ACUGCAACUUUGCGCUGGCAUUCGUGUCGGCAUGUGUAGGAUAGGUGGUAGGCUUUGAAGCGCGGGCGCCAGCUCGUGUGGAGCCAACCUUGAAAUACCACCCUUAUCGUCAUGGAUGUCUAACUGCGGUUCGACAGGAUCCAGGACAGCGCAUGGUGGGCAGUUUGACUGGGGCGGUCGCCUCCCAAAGAGUAACGGAGGNNNNNN